rnacentral:misc_RNA from 1 species
GAUGAAGAACGCAGCGAAAUGCGAUAAGUAAUGUGAAUUGCAGAAUUCCGUGAAUCAUUGAAUCUUUGAACGCACAUUGCGCCCGUCAGUAUUCUGGCGGGCAUGCCUGUUCGAGCGUCAUUACGCCCCUCAAGUCCCCUGUGGACUUGGUGUUGGGGAUCGGCGAGGCUGGUUUUCCAGCACAGCCGUCCCUUAAAUUAAUUGGCGGUCUCGCCGUGGCCCUCCUCUGCGCAGUAGUAAAACACUCGCAACAGGAGCCCGGCGCGGUCCACUGCCGUAAAACCCCCCAACUUUUUAUAGUUGACCUCGAAUCAGGUAGGACUACCCGCUGAACUUAAGCAUAUCAAUAAGCGGAGGA